rnacentral:rRNA from 1 species
AGAAUCAACGCUGGCGGCGUGCCUAACACAUGCAAGUCGCACGAGAAAGGGACUUCGGUCCUGAGUAAAGUGGCGCACGGGUGAGUAACACGUGAAUCAUCUACCUCCGAAUGGGGAAUAACUGAGAGAAAUCUUAGCUAAUACCGCAUAAUACCUACGGGUCAAAGCAGCAAUGCGUUUGGAGAGGAGUUCGCGGUCGAUUAGUUAGUUGGCGGGGUAAUGGCCCACCAAGACGAUGAUCGAUAUCCGGCCUGAGAGGGCGCACGGACACACUGGAACUGAAACACGGUCCAGACUCCUACGGGAGGCAGCAGUGGGGAAUUUUGCGCAAUGGGGGAAACCCUGACGCAGCAACGCCGCGUGGAGGAUGAAAUAUCUUGGUAUGUAAACUCCUUUCGAUGGGGAAGAUAAUGACGGUACCCAUAGAGAAGCCCGGCUAACUUCGUGCCAGCAGCCGC